ensembl:lncRNA
AGGGUUACUCACUGUUCUCUUGCUGCAACGUCAGGGGCACGCCCCGCUUCCCGUUUGCCUCACUUCCUGUUUGCCUCACUUCCUGUUUACCAUUGCUGACAGGGUCACUGUUGGGUGUCCAUAGCCAGAGAGCUGAGCCGCUCGCUGGCUGCUGUAUGUCCAGUUCGAGCCGUGAGCCGCUCGUGAGCCGUUACUGGCUGUUACCGUGGCUGCCGGUUGCUCCCCGUUCCCUUGUGGUGGACAAAAUUUACUGAUUGGCGGGCCGCCGCUUGUCUGGAGCUGUGCUGGCUACACAGGGUCCCAAACAAGCUGUGGGCCUCCGGUGGCGGGGACUGGUGUCUUCGGGUGGUGGGAACCCCUUCCUGUGUGGUGUGCUGCUCAUCCCCUGGUUGUUUUAUUUAUUUCUUCACUCAGGUGUGUGUGUGUGUGUGUGUGUGUGUGUGUGUGUGUGUGUGUGUGUGUGUGUGUGUGUGUGUGUGUGUGUGUGUGUGUGUGUGUGUGUGUGUGUGUGUGUGUGCGCGUGCGCAUGUUCACGUUCACGUGUGAGUGGGGUGAUUUCUCCUGGGCUCCCUUGUGAUGCCCGUUGGCCCAAACCUCCACCAGAGAGCCCCCAGCUCUGAUUAGUCCCCAAACCCGUCAUUUAACAAUCUCGUGUGAAUGGUUGUUUUUUUUUUUUUUUUUUUUUUUUUUGGUUUUAAACUGAGUAUUUUUAGUAUUAAAUAAAAUUUGUAUUUUUUGUCUGCACUGGAAUCAUAUCUCUUGCCUCAUCAGUGGAACGAACCUGAGUUGCCUUCUCGUUAGUGGUGGUUAUAAUUCCCUGGGUGAAAGUCCCAGGGUGGCGUUGUCUGGCCAGUGUCUACAUUCAGUAAUUGUAGCACGUUAGUUUAUCCCCGACCCCUGCGCUCGCCACACUUGUUUUAUGCUUACCGCGUCCGCGAGGUCCGUGCGGCUCCGUGCGGAAAAAUUACGUCAUUUUCGCACCCCGCCCCCUCCGGCGGCCUUUCCGUGCGGAAAAUUUUCGCUCCACACACCUCAACAUUUUUCUAACCAACGCGGACGGAGCCGCACGGAAAAACAUGGCGGAGGGCCAGGACCUACUCGUAGCUGAAGUCUAGAAAUACGUGCACCUAUAUGAUUCAUCUCACAGAGAUCACCGUGGUAACCGGGUUAUGAACUAUUCAUGGUGUGAAAUAAAACUAACUGCUGAAAUGCUUUUAUUUGGUAAAAUGCCGUGUUGUAAGUGGUGUAAACCAUGGCAAACUUCUUCUUCUCUAGUUUAGUACCAGAGUAGACCAGGUGUCGCUGUGUCGAUGUCCACAGCUUGUUAGUGCUUCUUCCAGUGCUGCUCCUCCCUCGCUGUUCUCUCUACUGUAUGCCAUGGUACACAAUGUUUUUUUCCUGGGGAGGGACGAGGACUUAGUGCUAGACUUUAAUCCCCUUUCAUGACCAUGAUGAGUAGUUACCAUUAUUAUUGUUCUGAUUAUGAUGAUUUAUCGUUGUUCUUCUAUAUUACUGAAUGUUUUCCUUUCUUCUGUGUGUUUGAGCUACACUGCCCCCGGCAGUUUGGAAGCAGACUUCUUCUUCCCUAGUUUAUUACUAGAGUAGACCAGGUAGACGUGUGUUAGGGAUACACUGCCCCCUGCAGUUUGGGAGCAGACGCGCACGGCCCGCAAUAGCAUAGCUGCAAGUGUAGCUUCUGAUAGCCGUGCCUUAGCAGCUCCCGAGCAGCCGGGAAGUCAAGGUAGCUGGAUGACAGUUCGUAGGAAACGUAGUCCUAAACUCAACCCGCUGUCCCGGCACACCACAAACCCCUUCACGUUUCUAAUCGUUUUUCCCCACUCAACGACACACCCGCUGAGAAACAAACUCUGAUCAUUGGCAGCUCCAGGGUUGCCACCUUUCAGAAAUUAAAAUAAAGGACGGCCACCACGGCUUCUUGGGGCCACAGUUCAGUAAAGUUGGAAAAAUAUUCACAGAUUCAGACUUCCAGCAUUCCAGCAUUAGAUAUACUUUGUCAAAAGAUAAACAAUGCCUCUUUCCCGUCGUUGUAAGGCAGACAAUGUGCUACAUUGUCUUACUUAUCAAAAGUAGCUGUCUUUCAAGCUGCAGUUUACUGAACUACCACCCAAGGAGUGGUAAUAUUUAAUUUUGAAAAAAGCACUUAGCCUUACUUAAAGCUUUAAGUAUGGAGUCACAGGAGUGUCACAAUAAAAUAUAAAUAAAUAAGGAAAUAAAUGUGGAAAUAUAAAGAGAAAUAAAUAAAUAAAUGUGGAAAUAUAAAGAGAAAUAAAUAAAUAAAUGUGGAAAUAUAAAGAGAAAUAAAUAAUUGUGGAAAUAAAUGUGGAAAUAUAAAGAGAAAUAAAUGAAUAAAUAAAUAAACAUAAAGAGAAAUAAAUAAAUAAAUAUAAAGAGAAAUAAAUAAAUAAAAAGGGAAAUUUUCUCUUUGGUUUUCCCUUUUCUCUUUUUUUCCUUUUAUUUUUCCAGUUUGUCAUUGUCUUUUCCGUUUUGCAUUUGCCUUUUCCUUUUGGCACUCAGUCCAUCAAGUAAAAGCAAAGUCAAAAGCCUUGGCUUGACUUGGUGGACUGAGCUGUCAAUCAAAUGGCUCUGGGCGGGGCUUUCUGUCCAGGGUGAGUAAUCGUACCUGAUCACAGGAUUCCUGCUUGGCGAUAGCUCCUAGCCCGGCUAAACGGAAGUGAUGUUACCUUGGCGCUGAGAGGAAGUGCAGACAACGCAGUUUGCAAAUACACGAACGUGACACUUUCAGCGGAUCAGAGUAGCUGGAUUUCUCAAUGUUUGGACUCUGUAGCGGGAUAUGAAGAAGUCAGUAUCUCAGUUGGUCAGAGAAGAAGCUGACAGGCUGGAUGAGCAAGCACAUCCAAACACCCCGUCGCCGAGACAGUCGGAUUCAACGCUGUUAACAAGAGACCCCAUUGAUGGUAAGUAGUUAUUACUUCUUUUGUUGAGUUAUAGUAAAACUAGCCAGAAAGUGCAUUGUGCGACGCUGAAGUCAGCUUUUCAGCUUCCGAUUCGGCAGUUCAAUGAAUAGUCAAGGGGAACUUGAACACGGUUUUGUGAAAAGUAAAGAGUAUAUGCAACUGGAAGCUUCUGGUAACACUUCCUUCAUUGCUUUUCUCUAAAAGCUGAGGUGUCAAGACUUUUCUUGUCAUACCAGACCUCUUCACGGUCUCUGACCCCACGUCACAGGCCAAUGCUAUUUCCAAGAAGCUGUGCUGUUUCGUACUCACCACAGGUUUGAAUAUAGCUUCUGAUUACUGUUUAUAAGCAAACAUUGUAAAUCUACAUACAUGCAACAUUGCGUAACGUGAUUUUAAUUGUAAUUAUACAGCAACUUCUGGACUGCAUCAUUUGGCCAGUGGAAUCCGAUAGUGAUGAGGACACAAGUCUGGAGGAAAAGUGCCAUAUCUCUGGAUUUCUGAGAGAAUACAUUGAAAAUGGAACUUCUGAAGUUCUGGCAGGGGUGGAAGGUUCUUCCAAAAGAGCUGCAUGUGGAAAUUGUGCAUGGACAAAUGCCUCAGUCAAGCACAUGCAUGGAGACUCUUCGGCUGCCUUCACGCUAUAAGUCUUAUGAUGUUUUCUGUGAGGCUCUGAACGCAGCAGUCAGUUCUGUUCAAACAGGGUUUGGACUUGUUUAAAGUCACAACUUCAAGUGUUAUGCAGCCAAUUAAUGUUACCAAAAUGCAUAAAAUGUUAAAGCAGAUAUGUUUAGUUGUUUUGACAAUUGUUCUGAUGUGAUGUAAGCUUGUGAGGCAAAUGCAUGCUUCAGGAGAAGGUUCACAACAGUUCUUGUUUUUUCUGCUGCCAGGCUCAAAUUGUUGUGUGUGACAUUUAACAUGUAACAGAAAUGUGGCGGCCAGUGAGUUGUUGCAGGAAGACAGUUUAAAGGUGAGAGUUGAGAGAGUGAAUUAAUGGAGUAGCUUAUUUUUAUGUAAAAGAUUACAAACCUGAACUAUGGUUCAGGUUUGUGCAUUUCUGAACUGUGACAACAAAAUGUUUCCACACUUGGAGAAGACUGUGUUUGGGGAACAGUUGUAAUAUAAAUGUGUGGAAGUUAAAGAAAAGAAUUAUCAGUUCUGUUAAAAAAUGUUUUUUUUAUUGGCACAUUGUUUUAAUGCUUUCAAAUUAUUCAGCAUGCAAUAAAAGCAGUUUUGUAUCCCUUUGUUAUGUCUUGCUUUUUUACAUUUUUGUUUUCACAGGCAUUUAUUUGAAAUUCACAACUUGUCAUAAAAUUAUGCACCAAAAAUUUGCAGCAUUCUUUCAAGUCUUGUUCGACCAUUUCAAACGGUUUCAUUCUGAUCAUGUUAAGGUGAGUUGUGAUAGGCCUAGGUUUGUUGAAAAAUGUUCUUAAGAAUAUUGCUCUCAGCUCUCGUAGGAGGCGGUCGCACUUUUCCUUGCUCCGCUAUCUCUGUUCCUCCCUACCCUCAUGUCUCCCUGCUUGCUGCAUUUCUUCGUCUUCGUCUCGUUUGUCUGACUUGGAGCGAUUGCUUGGCACUGGACCUUUGAAACACCGAUCAUGGAAUUGAUUAACUGGUCUCUCAACGCAAUUGACAAGAUUGUCGCCACAAAGAGCACAGGCCUAGGGGAGCCUACCUGCCCGGAUGGGAGUUUCGCCUCUGGUUACGUGAUCGACGCCUGGGGGAAGUGGAAGGGGAUCAUGUGCCUGGCACCCCUAUCCGUGGAGGACGUGGAAGAUGUUUAUAUAUUUGGAUUUAUGAUGACAGGCCUGCUGAUAAUCGGCUUGUUCACUGGCCUGAGCUUCUGGAAAAUCAGGAAGACCGCAGACAGAAAUGACGUCCAAACUCUGCUGGUCUAUGCAAACGAACGGAUCAUGGCUGCCGAUUCUCGGUAUGACGAACUCAAUCGUAAGAUGAACAAUUUGCUUGGUGUGACUGUUGAUUUGAGUCGCAGAUUGGAAGCCAUUAGGGUGAGAAUCGCUACAGCUGAGGUCUAAAAUUGUUGAUGUAUGCCCGGAAGGUGAAAUUGUUCCUCUCUCCUGACCAAACAAGAAGGAAACUGAUUACAUUCUGGCGCCCCUGGAACAAUAACAAACUCCUCUGGAAGUUUCAUGGCCAAGAGAUAGCUCUCCUAAACCCCCCCCACUUUCCCAAGGACACCUGUUGACUUUUGGACCGGGCCAACCGAGGACGUCUCCAUAGCAACCUUGCUGUGUUAUCGCGCUCCCACCCUCGCGAAUCUGAGACACCGGAGGUCUGAGACGGAAGAAGAUGGGCUACACACAUACACAAACAUUCGGACUCAUGAACUGAGGACUGAGCUAAACAUUCGCACAGACAUUCCCAUAUCCCCCUCCCCCCCGCUUCCACAAGCUUCCCUCGCUAUGCACAGGAGCCAGGAAUCCGUGCACUUGCACAGGAACCGGCUAACUGUGCGGUGCUCCCCCCUCCACCACCCCACAUCCUUAUCCCAACUAUCCUUUUCUAACGUCAUGCUUUGCCUGUUUGUGGGUUUGUUUUUUUAGGUUCCUUCUCAAAUUGAAUUUCCCAACAUUGGAGGUUUCAUUUGGUACAACGAGCCUUUUUUUUCCUUUACCCUUUGCAAUCCCUACCCAGAUCCCAACAUGUCCUUUUUCUUUUUUUCUUCAAGAAAGGUGCGCGCAGCACUGCGCAGCAGCCGGAGCUGUCAUUGGCAGGGCAGCUCAAAUGAAAUUUCGUUGUAUAUGAAAAUGUGCAAUGACCAAUAAAGAUUGAUUGAUUGAUUGAUACACUGUAUCCAUGUAUGCCCGUAGUGCAGCAGAAAAAGGGACUGCCGGAUCAGACAAUGAUGUAACUUCAGCCUGGGUAAGCUGCUGGGGUAGUUGUGCAUCAGGUACAGUGACACCCUCUGGGUAUGGGGUGUGAGGUCCUGUCCAGUCUAUUCCAUAAUCAGCAGCAACCUGAAAGGAAAGCAUAAUUUGAAAGCAAGCCCUUUUAUUAAGAAAUGCACAUUCCUCAAGGAAAAAAAAAUUAAGAAGUAAAUGAGAUUAGGAACUACAUGGUAUGGCAAAACGGCAAGUGAACCGUCUAGUACCACAGCAGAAAUAAUAAAGUUAACAUAAAUAAAUAUAAAGGAAGACAGGAAGGUAGAGGUACAAGAGGGAAUUUGUACCUCAACUGGAUCAGC